CCUACGGGAGGCUGCAGUGGGGAAUCUUGCGCAAUGGGCGAAAGCCUGACGCAGCAACGCCGCGUGGGGGAUGAAGGCUCUCGGGUUGUAAACCCCUUUCAGUAGGGACGAAAAUGACGGUACCUACAGAAGAAGCCCCGGCCAACUACGUGCCAGCAGCCGCGGUAACACGUAGGGGGCAAGCGUUGUCCGGAUUUAUUGGGCGUAAAGAGCUCGUAGGCGGUUCGGUAAGUUGGGUGUGAAACCUCCAGGCUCAACCUGGAGACGCCACCCGAUACUGCUGUGACUAGAGUCCGGUAGGGGAGCGUGGAAUUCCUGGUGUAGCGGUGAAAUGCGCAGAUAUCAGGAGGAACACCAGCGGCGAAGGCGGCGCUCUGGGCCGGAACUGACGCUGAGGAGCGAAAGCGUGGGUAGCAAACAGGAUUAGAUACCCUUGUAGUC
rnacentral:rRNA from 1 species